rnacentral:rRNA from 1 species
GAUGAACGCUGGCGGCGUGCCUAAUACAUGCAAGUCGAGCGAACGGACGAGAAGCUUGCUUCUCUGAUGUUAGCGGCGGACGGGUGAGUAACACGUGGAUAACCUACCUAUAAGACUGGGAUAACUUCGGGAAACCGGAGCUAAUACCGGAUGAUAUUUUGAACCGCAUGGUUCAAAAGUGAAAGACGGUCUUGCUGUCACUUAUAGAUGGAUCCGCGCUGCAUUAGCUAGUUGGUAAGGUAACGGCUUGCCAAGGCAACGAUGCAUAGCCGACCUGAGAGAGUGAUCGGCCACACUGGAACUGAGACACGGUCCAGACUCCUACGGGAGGCAGCAGUAGGGAAUCUUCCGCAAUGGGCGAAAGCCUGACGGAGCAACGCCGCGUGAGUGAUGAAGGUCUUCGGAUCGUAAAACUCUGUUAUUAGGGAAGAACAUAUGUGUAAGUAACUGUGCACAUCUUGACGGUACCUAAUCAGAAAGCCACGGCUAACUACGUG